GAAAUACUUGAGAAUUCAGUGUUGCCACAUUUAGACCACAUUGCGAAAGAUCGGGAUAUUUUUGUGCAGAUCCGAGGUGUCCAGCUUCUGGUCGAUGUUAUUGCAUCCUCUGAUUCACCGAAAGUUUGCGAUGUUUUGCAUACAAUCGAGAAGAUUGCCACUGUCCAGUAGAUCCUCUCAAGCGAUACGUCAAGCCGUCGUGUAAAGAACAUGUAAGAAGAUUAGUGGUAUAAAUUACAUUGGAGUGAACGAAAGGUUCCAGUGACGUUAGAGAUCUCAGAUUAUCCUAAAGGAUUUGUUGUUGUCUGUGGUGGUUUUAGCACAAUGCAUCUUUUCACAUCAGAGAGGAAUUGCUGAAAAAGAUGAUGGAAUCUUCUUUCAAUAAUGUUGGUGUUACGAUAAAUGAUGACGAACAUAUCACAUCAAUGUCAGAAUUCAGCGUCUAUAAAGAAACUCCUCGGAGUAAAAUAUUUUUAAUAAUUCGAUAUCGAAACCAUCCUCAGUCGUUCGGGCUGGAAUACACAAGCGGUCGGCUGAGAAAUUACUCGUCUCCUGACAGGGAAACAUUAUUGGCUGGUUUGCUAGACGGUGUUAGAGCCAGUUGAAACAUAGAUGUUUGCGUAAAAACGACCCCAACGAAGAGAAGUACUGUACGCUUAUUCAUAGAUGAUUGAGCGAAAAUUAUGGUCAAAAUUUUCCUGAUGAAAAUCUCGUACUGCUAUGAUUACCCUAAAUAGGAUCCCUCAUUUCAUUCUCCUGCUGACGUAUGUGAUCUCAUAUAACACACCAACAAUUACACUUCUCGUCAGGUUAUCGUUGGGGUCCAUUGUAUAAUGUUGUUGACGAAGAAGUAGAAAGCAGUCAUUUAAAUUCCUCGCUGCAUCUCCAGGAAAUUUAACCGAAGCUGUGUACAGAUUUAACUGCAAUAUU